rnacentral:lncRNA from 1 species
GCUCAGUCAGCAGGGUGGGCGUGGCCUUCUCCCUGCCUGCAUCUGAAAUGCAGUUUAAAGGUCAGGAAGACUGAUCUUUCGCUUCUGAAUCCUCUGAGAGUUCCUCAGGCCCUCCUGUGUGAGGCCCAGCUGCUUCCUGCCUGGUCUUCCUGGAUCCACAGAGGCCCAGUGGAGAGGACUGGAGGCAGGGAGGCAGUCCCUGCCUGCGACAAACCGACAGAGAUAAUGGGUCUUGUGCUGUCCUUGGGCACAGGACUGGGGCUUUGGGUGACAGAGCCUGAGUCAAGGCCAAGGGGCUCCCAGGCACUCUCUCCCCCUAGCCCAUCCCCUCCCCACCGCAGUGGGGCUGCAUGGCCUCACCUUCUCUGCCUCCUCACGGCUCAUGGCGAGGGCCAGCUGCAGCUGCAGUUCCUCUUCCCCUGACGUCUGAGGCCGGGCCUGCUCCAGGUCGGAGGUAUAGCGGGGUGACGAAGAGGAGGCUGCAAUGACCAUCAUGUCUCUGUGACCACACGAUUACCCAUCGGCUCCCACACCCCUCUGCCUGCCAGGAAGCUGAGGCUCAAGAGAACUGAGAGGAGGGGAACAACGGCCGUUGAGGCCCCCGUGGGCCAAGCAGUGUGCCAGGCACUCUAUCAAACAAUGGAGGUAGGUGAGCUUAUCCCCACUGUACAGAUGAGGAAACUGAGGUUCAGAGAACUGGUUGCCCAGGUCACACAGCUUGGAGGAAGCAGAAUAUAGAAUGCUAUCUGACUCCAAACCCAUGCUUCCACUAUCGCGCCAUCCUAUCAGGCAGCUAACGAAUGAUAAUGAAUCUAUAACAACGUUAUUAUCUGAGCUA